GCCGUGUGAGCGGAUCUUUUUGGGAAGCCGGGCUUUUAGAGGGACCGCCGCUGAUAGCUGGAGGAAGGAGGGGACUACUGUGUGUCCGUAUGCCCCGAAUCCCUUGGGCCACACGCGGGCUGCAGUGGUUAGGACAGUGGGUUCCCACCCUGAAGGGUGGAGGUUAUCCCAUAAACCUUCUUAUUUUUGAUAGAGGGGUGUGACUCCCCCUCUCGAGAAUGUAGAAUGUAUAAAUAUCGUGUGUCAUAAUCGCGCUGAAUAUAUCUCUGUGCCUUGUGACAAAAUUUUGGCCUCGGCCGAGUCAACGUCCCGACGGCUGUAACGGGCCGCCUCAAACGCUUCUUUGAUCUAAUCUAUGUCCUCAACCGCAUAGGGCACAGCCUUCUCCAACUGGACCGCGUAUUCGGAAGGUGUCUGGAAUGGCUUGCGCGUCAUUCCCUGCUCCUUGCUCAACCUUGCACAA
rnacentral:rRNA from 1 species